ACAGACCGUUAGAUAUAUGUAGGGUUUUAGGAUUUUAGGGAUUACAAAGGCGUUUGACCGUUAAACUUGCCGUUGGAUUUAGAGCUAACGGAACUAAAUUUAGCGGAAUCUAUCUGGUCGACUAACGGUUUUCCAAGUAAGCUGAAACGCCAAUCCGCAAAUGCAAAAAAUGAGCUUCACUAAUUAGCAGUUGGCAGAUUAGCGGAACAAUGCCCACCACUGUUGGAGAACCUUUGAACUGCAGUCACUGACCUGCUGCUGAAAGGUGUUUGGCCACUGGACUCUACAGGGAGCAUUAGGCAAAGCCAAAACAAACUGCUCAGGUCCCAGGUCUGCUCCAGCUGCGAGCCUGGCACCAUGGAGACCUCCAAGUUUGCAAGUAUUGUUCACUUCACAGCGACCAGGUUUGGCUUGAAGAACAAUUCAGGUCUCUGCCAUCCAUAGGACUUUCCAACUCUUCUCUGCACUGAUGUCUUGCUUCUGCAGGGGUCAUCACCUCUUCAUAUCCGACUCUGCAAGGAAUGUUCAGUCUUUGUUGGGUGACCUUGAACAUUCAGUGUUCUGAUUGCCUCACCUGUAGAAGUUGACUGAACCAGUUUUCUUGAAGCAUGUGUUCUAGCAUUCCUUCAAGGUCUCCAGUGUGGUUCAGGUGGACCACACCUUUCCAAGAGAAUGCAAGCUCCAAGUACCUGGCCAUUUCAUUCAUUCCAAGAGCAGGUAUGUUUUCGCCAAAUUAGAUGUUGGUCUUCAGCAAGUGGGCCCUGAUUGUCUUCUUUCCAUCCUUUGCUAUGGUAAGGGCCCUAGAUUUUCUGGUAUUAAGUCUCAAUACUAAAACUGCACAAUUAACGGCACUGAAAAUGUUACUGUAUUUAUUAAUGUUCAUUUCACCACGUGCUAAAACUGUAAAUGCAACUUAGAUACUCAUUUCUAUCUAAACUUUAGAUGUCACUUUUCUCUGUUUCAUCCAAAACGUUAGUGCGACUGCUGUGGACCAUAGUUAAAUGUGCAUACUUUUUCAGGUUAUAUAUUAUUUGGUAACACUUUACAUUAACUGCACCUUCAUAAUGCUUUUAUAUUACAUUCAUAAAACGUUCA